UUGACUGGGGUGGUACACCUGUCAGACUGUAACACGGCUGUCCUAAGGCGAGCUCAGGGAGGACAGAAACCUCCCAUGGAGCAGAAGGGUAAAGCUCGCUUAAUCUUGAUUUUUAAUACGAAUACAGACCAUGAAAGCAGGGCCUCACGAUCCUUUUGACCUUCAGGAUUUUAAGCAGGAG
rnacentral:ncRNA from 1 species